UUAUGUGUUACCCUAGUAGCUAAUUUAUGUGUUUGUUACCCUAGUACAUAAAUUAGCUACUAGGGUAACACAUAAA
rnacentral:pre_miRNA from 13 species